UACGUAGGGCGCAAGCGUUGUCCGGAAUUAUUGGGCGUAAAGAGCUCGUAGGCGGCUUGUCACGUCGGAUGUGAAAGCCCGGGGCUCAACUCCGGAUCUGCGGUGGGUACGGGCAGACUAGAGUGAUGUAGGGGAGACUGGAAUUCCUGGUGUAGCAGUGAAAUGCGUAGAUAUGCGGAGGAACACCGAUGGCGAAGGCAAUCCCCUGGGCCUGCACUGACGCUCAUGCACGAAAGCGUGGGGAGCAAACAGG
rnacentral:rRNA from 1 species